rnacentral:rRNA from 1 species
GCAAAUCAGACGGGCGUAGUCAUGUCCUAACCUGUUUCCGGAGCGUAACACGUAACUAACCUACCCAUCAUUGGGGGAUAGCCCGCCGAAAGGCGGAUUAAUACCGCAUAAGACAAUAGAAGGGCAUCCUUUAGUUGUUAAAGAUUUAUUGAUGAUGGAUGGGGUUGCGGGUCAUUAGCUAGUUGGUAAGGUAACGGCUUACCAAGGCGACGAUGACUAGGGGGGCUGAGAGGCUGGUCCCCCACACGGGCACUGAGAUACGGGCCCGACUCCUACGGGAGGCAGCAGUAGGGAAUAUUGGGCAAUGGGCGAGAGCCUGACCCANCCAUGCCGCGUGCCGGAUGAAGGCGCUCAGCGUUGUAAACGGCUUUGACUGGGAAGAACGGCAGGUUUGCGAACUUGUGUGACGGUACCAGCAGAAUAAGCACCGGCUAACUCCGUGCCAGCACCCGCGGUAAU